rnacentral:rRNA from 14 species
CACGAAUGGCGUAACGAUGGCCACACUGUCUCCUCCCGAGACUCAGCGAAGUUGAAAUGUUUGUGAUGAUGCAAUCUACCCGCGGCUAGACGGAAAGACCCCAUGAACCUUUACUGUAGCUUUGCAUUGGACUUUGAACCAAUCUGUGUAGGAUAGGUGGGAGGCUUUGAAGCGGGGACGCCAGUUCUCGUGGAGCCAACCUUGAAAUACCACCCUGGUUCAUUUGAGGUUCUAACCUUGGUCCGUUAUCCGGAUCGGGGACAGUGCAUGGUAGGCAGUUUGACUGGGGCGGUCUCCUCCUAAAGUGUAACGGAG